rnacentral:rRNA from 1 species
CCUACGGGGGGCAGCAGUGGGGAAUAUUGGACAAUGGGGGCAACCCUGAUCCAGCCAUGCCGCGUGUGUGAAGAAGGCCCUCGGGUUGUAAAGCACUUUCAGUGAGGAAGAACGCCUGGUGGUUAAUACCCAUCAGGAAAGACAUCACUCACAGAAGAAGCACCGGCUAACUCCGUGCCAGCAGCCGCGGUAAUACGGAGGGUGCGAGCGUUAAUCGGAAUUACUGGGCGUAAAGCGCGCGUAGGUGGCUUGAUAAGCCGGUUGUGAAAGCCCCGGGCUCAACCUGGGAACGGCAUCCGGAACUGGCAAGGUAGAGGGCAGGAGAGGAAUGUAGAAUUCCCGGUGUAGCGGUGAAAUUCGGAGGGAACGGGAGGAAUACCCGUGGCGAAGGCGGCCUUCUGGACUGACACUGACACUGAGGUGCGAAAGCGUGGGUAGCAAACAGGAUUAGAUACCCGUGUAGUC